rnacentral:rRNA from 1 species
AAGAGUGAAAUCAAAAUAUAAUUAUUAACAACAUCAUAAUAAAUGAAACUAUAAAAAUUAAAACACAAACUGAGAUUAGAUACCUCACUAUAUUUAAUAUUAAUCUUAACUCUUGAUUAUUAAUAGCUAUAAUCUUUAAAUUCAAAGAAUUUGGCGGUAUUUUAGCCUAGUUAGAGGAACCUGUUUUAUAAUCGACAAACCACGUUAAUUUUACUUGAGCCUGUAUACCGUCAUUAUUAGAUAACUUUUAAAGAAAUAGUUAUUAUAAUUAAACUCAAAUUAAAUAUAUUAGAUCAAGGCGCAGCUAAUAUGCAAGUAAAAAUGGGUUACAAUAAAACUUAUUUACCACGAAAUGUUAUACAUAAAGGAGGAUUUAAUUGUAAUUAUCUAUAAAAAGAUAUUUUGAUAUCAGCUCUAAAAUAUGUACAUAUCGCCCGUCGCUUUC